GAGAGUGGGUGUAUGAUGAAGGCGAGCAAGUUGUCGCCUACAAGGAUAUUCAUGAAAAGGCGGAAGACAAGCCUGGCCACAGAGCAUUGAGUAGUUACAGCUUGCCGAAGUGGGUGUACCACCCCCA
rnacentral:SRP_RNA from 13 species